AUAGCACGGGUAGACAAAACUGAAAAGCAGAGCAACAAGGGGUAGCAGGUUUACAGUAUCUGGCCCUAAGGUGUGGGUGGCGCAGCUAUUUAGUGUUAGGCCUCACUUUUGAGUUGUCUUCCCGUAGGAACCAUUAGGGAGAUGAAGAAAGGUGCUUACUUAGUAAAUUAGAAUCCAGAAACAAUCAUCCCUUACUGCCACAGGCCAAGGGGCUUGCUCCUUCACAGCAUCAACUGCCCCAGCGCUCGGCCUUCAUUUCAUUUCAUUUUCUUUCUGCAAAGUCAGCCUGACAGCCCGCCUGCCCUCCAAAAAGCCACCACUCUAAGAAUUCGUGCUUCUCUGGAUAUCAUGUGACAGAGAGGCGACCAGUCUUCCUAGUGAGAGAGCAACUGCGCAUUCAAAAACAGAGGGGCUUAUCUCAGAGUACUUCUCAUUUUAGGAUGGGCAGGGUGUGUUCCUUCCCCAAAUUCCUUCCAAAGGAAGGACUCCACCCUUCAGCGAAGGCCUGACCGGAAGGGGUGGGCUCCGUGUCUGGACGCCGCGCUUCCUCCACCAUGGCGUCUCGUGGGGUCGUUGGCGUCUGCUUGCUCUCUGCUCUCCCUCUCUUGUGUCUGGAACUCCAGCGUGGGAUCCCAGAGAUAGGAAUUAAAGAUUUCAUUUUGCUGUGUGGCCGGAUUUUCUUGCUGCUUGCUCUUCUUACUUUAAUUAUUUCCAUGACUACCUCAUUGCUUAACUCAUACAAAUCUUCCCAAGUUUAUCAAAAAGAAGAUGAGGAAGAAAAGAAUGAGAGAAGACAAAAACUUGUGAGAAAUAAACAACAAGAAGCACAGAGUGAAAAGGCCAGUAGAUACACAGAGAACAUUUUAAAACCUCGCCAGGAAAUGAAGUUAAAAAAACUGGAAGAACGCUUUUAUCAAAUGACGGGUGAAACCUGGAAGUUAACCAGUAGUCACAAACUUAGGGGUGAUGAAGAUUUGGUGCUUGAAAAUGUGGGCCAGUCAUCUUUUGAAACAUCAAACAGAGAAGCCGCUAAGAGACGAAACUUGCCCAAUCCUUUAACCCAAGUUCCGCCACCUGCUGACCAGCCCUUGCAGAAAGAGGUUCCUGACUUACCUGAAGAACCUUCUGAAACAGCUAAAGAAGGAUUGAACUCGGGACCUUGCACUUGUGAAGCAGGCAACAGAACCACUGAGCUAAGUCCCUGGGAAACAAAUUUUAAUUUUAAAUCAAAUUUCACUUAACAGUUUGUGUUUGGGACACUGAUUUUUUUUUUUUUGUCCUUUUUUAGUAUAUGUGCUGCCGAAGCAAGCACUUUUUUUUCUUUUUUAAGAUGGUCUCAGUAUGUAGUUCAGGCUUACCUUGAACUCACUAUGUAGUCCAGGCUGGCCUCCUGCCUCAGCCUCUUGAGCGCUAGGAUUACAAGCAUGCACUACCACACCAGGCAUAGGACACUGAUUUUUUUUCCAGUAUGAAUUGCAGCCCACACAUUUUAGCUAUGUCAGCCUACUCCAUUGUCAGUAAUAGUAGGAGAAACUGUACAACCAACCUUCCCAGUGAUUGUAAUAGAAUAAUUGCUAGAUUUCAAACAGUUCAUUUCUCUCAAGUAUUUAUCUCAUCAUGAAAAAUAUUCACUAAAUUUUAACUGUAGUUUCUCAUAAGGCAGUUAGCUUUUUUUAAAAAAAUAAGGCAGUUAGCUUUAAUUUUGCUGUCACAUUAUUGCAGUGUAAACAAAACCUUGAUGGAAAAAUUUUAUUGUUUUUCCAACCAAGCAAAGUUGGCUUUUAAAAGUAUGUGAUUUAUUUAUUUUAUGAUUUGUUUUAUUACAGAAUUUUUUCCUUGGUAGACAUAAUAUAGCAGGGCAGUAGAACUUUCUUUUUUCUUUUUCUUUUUUUAAGCGUAGGAAAAAUUUAUUGGGAGAAAGAAAGCUUCUGCCUGAGAGAGACAGAAGACGGACCAGAAAGUGGGUUGCCUGCCCACCCCACUUUUCAAAGAUGUUUUAUACAGCAAAGCCAUGUGGUAGUUACUGUUGCUCUUCGAUGUCCAAAUGGGAGAGUACUGAGAAGAAGGUUUUUUAAGUCUUGCAGUUCACAGUUUACAGCAUUCUAGGGCUGCUUCAGCUGGCAUCUUCAAACUGUUGCAAACUCCUUCCAUGAACCCACUCCAAAGGCUUCUGAAUCACAUGGUUUUAUUUGCCUGGUUAAUGAAAAUUGGGUACCACACAUCUCUAUAUAGCCUUUUCACUUCCUUUCCCAGAAGACUUCUGGAAGUAAAGGGAGGCUGGUCACUGGCUGACAUAGGAAUAACUACACAUACUGUACUCAUCGUGGACGAGAAAGAAUAGAGCAACUAGUAAAGAAAUGAGAACUACCUGUUCUACAUUAAAUCAGUUAUACUGUGACCUAACAGUUCAAUAACAGAUUCUUGUUAAAAUUAUGCUGUACCUUGACUGAGUUUAAGACAAUAAACAUUUUAAAUUGAUAUACAUAGGAAUAUAUUGAUGUAAAGGAUUGAAAAAGACUCAUUUCUGCAUGUAAGUUUUGGAAUGUGUCAUCUUAUAAUGUACCAAAUAAGAAUGGGAUAACAAUGUAUAUACAAGAAGGCAGUCUAUUUAUAUUUCUUUCCAACUGCCAUCAUUUCUCACUAUGUUAAAAACAUUUUUGGUUUCUGCCUCUUUAAUCCUUAACUCCACAGUUACUAUUUUACAAUUCAUUCAGACCUUUCAAAAUCAUGUAAGUAGGAGUCUUUACUCUACAGUUAUUUAAGUUUAAAAACUUAAGUUCUUUAAGUCUUUACUGUUCUUGUGAAUGGUAUGCAUUAUUGUUUACUUGGCUGAUGUCUACAAUGCAUAUAAUUUUACCUUGUAUUAAUUGCAACAUUUGCAACAUUCCAGGUGGAAAUCUCUGAAAGCAUUAAAACAUUGGUGAUGUUUUUUAGUCUCUCAUUUCCUUUUCUUGCUCAUAAACCUGUAAUGGUAUACUCAUGCACUAUAAUUACCAUGUUCAAACUGAGUAUAAAGGGCUAUUAACUUGGUUGUAGUCACUCCUUUCUUUCCUGUGCUCACCCACCCUAUUCCUUUUUGCUCACCUGACUCCUCUGUGUUACCCUUCAUUUAACACUUCUUUAUUCCUUUACUGUGGAGUUUAUUACACUGUGACUAUUCUUAUUUUGCCAAAUAAUCCCUUGGGGAAAAGCUAUGUCUUUUUUCCCUGCAGAAGUACUAUAUAGUAGAUGCUUACUUAAUACGUGUUUGAAAAUAUUAGUAAGUUGUCUCAAUUUUUAACUUUUUGUGUCUGAACUAUGCCACAUUAAAAAACAUUGAUUGUAAAUUAUAAAAGAUCUUCAAAACCUUAUAAAGUAAAAAAUAAAAAAUCUUCCAUAAUCCUGUACCCAGAAA